rnacentral:rRNA from 1 species
UACAGAGGUCUCAAGCGUUGUUCGGAUUCAUUGGGCGUAAAGGGUGCGUAGGCGGCGCGGUAAGUCGGGUGUGAAAUCUCGGAGCUUAACUCCGAAACUGCAUUCGAUACUGCCGUGCUUGAGGACUGGAGAGGAGACUGGAAUUUACGGUGUAGCGGUGAAAUGCGUAGAUAUCGUAAGGAAGACCAGUGGCGAAGGCGACAUACUGGUCCAUUACUGACGCUGAGGCUCGAAAGCGUGGGGAGCAAACAGG